UACGAAGGGGGCUAGCGUUGCUCGGAAUCACUGGGCGUAAAGCGCACGUAGGCGGAUUGCUAAGUCAGGGGUGAAAUCCCAGGGCUCAACCCUGGGACUGCCUUUGAUACUGACGAUCUGGAGAUCGGGAGAGGUUGGUGGAAUUCCGAGUGUAGAGGUGAAAUUCGUAGAUAUUCGGAGGAACACCAGAAGCGAAGGCGGCCAACUGGCCCGAUACUGACGCUGAGGCGCGAAAGCGUGGGGGAGCAAACAGG
rnacentral:rRNA from 1 species